AUGUGUGUGCGUGUGCGCCUGUUUCCGCAGGUGGCCCUGGGAAUGCAGGAUGAAGGGGAUGGUCUCACACUGACCCCUUCUCCCUCCAGCCCUUUCCUUUCAGACCCUUACCUCCUGGGUGCCAGCUCAGUGUCCCCCUUCCCCGCACUGCAGCUGCUGCUCCCCGUGACCUGCUGUGCUGGGGAGGAUUGUCUUGUGUCUCCCUCCUGCCCCCGCCACCCUGAGGAAGGGAAGGUCGGACGGCCCCGAGGCCUUUUUGAGAACGCAGGGUGGGUCCCUUUUUGCACUGGGCUCCAUGGUGAGAGGCAGGUUGGCCUGGACAGAGGCCCCAACGAGGGCCAGGCGGUGGGAGGGGAAAGACCUUACUUUGAGCUUUCCAUAAAGGGCUACAAAACUGAUCCCGUUAUCUUGAGUGCUCAGGCCCCUCCUGUGCCCAUGCCACCCCGAUUUGCACUAAUCACUUCUGCCUUUGUGGGGGGAGGCUUGGCCCUUCACAGCUCUCCCCUCCUGGGCUGGGGUGUGCCAGGGGCAGCAGUUCCUCCUGCCUCCCCCACCUCCAGCCCAGGAAGUGGCCAGGCAUGUACCAUGGCCUUUGGAAGCCACGAAGCCUCACCAUAUAGCCGUUUCUUGGUUCCCGUCCACUUUGGUGAGCUGUGGUCUGAGAGGCUGGGACAGGUGCCUCCUGGGGUCGUGUGGCUUUCCCCCCAGCCUGACCAGAUGCAGGGAGUGAAGGGAGAGUCCAGGAAGGGAAAUGAGCUCUUGGGGCACCAGCUGGGCUUUUCCCCCUUGUGGGCCAGGAGGCUGCUGUUCUCUCUGGGGGUGGGGGGCUGUUCUGGGACUGGCCAUGGAGGGCCAUGGUGCUGCUUAGCGCCAUGGGACACUCCUCUUCCCGCCUUCCCCCAAAGGGACAUGACUUGCUUUAUGGACUGUUUGUAUUAUUUGGAAAAAAGUGGUGUCAAUAAAAGCCAAGCUGGGCCCCGGGCCCUCUUUGGGCUGAACUGA
rnacentral:lncRNA from 1 species